GCACCUUUUACACUGGAAAUAAAACCUCUCCUCCAAAUUUAACCAUAGUAAACCGACUACCCUAUUUCGUUCUAAAAUAAAUGAAAAGGAACCCAUAACUCGAUUUUCAGGAAAAAUAUAUCAAUCAUGCAAUGUAUAAAUCAAACAUUCACAAGUUUAUAAAUAACAUCGAAUGUACCUUAUUGGAUUUAGCACGACGAUGGACGGAGUUGGGGAAGAUGAUCGGAGUUGGGGAAGAUGAUU
rnacentral:lncRNA from 1 species